AUGUCUGUGGAAACUAUUGAAGAGGAAGGCUUUGCUAAAUCUUCAUGGAGGAAAGCUCAGUGUCACACUGGAUGCGACCCUGAGAUGCCAGUCCUAUGGCCAGCCACAUCCACAAUACAACAGCUUUUUGCUGAUAUUCAGUAUGGUUUACAAAAUGUGUGACCGUGGUUCAGAUGUACUUAAAAUGUAGUAAGAUUUACCCCAAAUUUUGCUUAAAAAUGG
ensembl:lincRNA